rnacentral:lncRNA from 1 species
CCUUAUGUGAUUCUAAAGACAAAUUAGAAUGGUUUUAACAAGAGAAAGGAUAACACAGUUAUUUUUAUCUCCAUUCCUUAAACUUGUCCUCUCUUUUUUUUUUGAUAAAAAAAGAAUUUCUUUUAUGAAUAUAAUCUUAAAGAUCCUCUAUUUUGAUCUUUACAUGGUUACCCAUAAUAGAUUCAGAAGCUUCAUUUACAUUUAGUGUUUUUAUAAAUCG